AUGAUGAACCUUGCUGACUCAGUCCUCUGCGUAAUCAUCCAUGCUCACACUACAAGCAAUGCUGUAAAGCAGAGGCAACACCUGUGUGCUGAUGGCGCCCCCAGUGGGGAGGAGGAGAGUUUACACACAGGGCACAGUGCUGCCUCUGAGCCCACUCUCCCAUCCAAAUGCCUAACAUACACUUUCUCAAGCCCACUUUAUGCCAAAAAAAUUAGAUAUCUCUCUCUGCAGUUGAGCGUGGCAAUAAUUCAUACUUCUUCUUGCAGUUGUGAGAUCUGGUGUGGCUGGGGGUCGAAUGCGAAGUGAACUAUUAAAAUACAUGGAAGCACUGUAAACCUGAAUGCUCAGAGGAAGGAGAUUCAAAGAGAAAAUCUGAGAGCAAUACUUCUGAAUGAAUCACAGAGAAGAGAACCUCAGGGACUCUCCUUGGUUCUUGGAUUUGUCCUGGGAGAAGCCAGCAGUCUGUUGCUCCUCCAGGAGCCGUGGUGUUCAGGCCUCAAGAAUAAAUGCAUUUGGUCACUCUUUUUUGGUGAUGUGGUGGGGGGUGCAGUAUAUGGCAUCUAUCACAAUGGUUACUCUUAAUAUUGUUUCUUGAAUCUCAGGUUUGUGGUCCACACAAGGUGGAAGUAGCAGAGCUUAUUCCAGCUCUCACACUCAUUUCCAUAGCUGCUCCUGGCAGCUGAGAGCUGGGCACCAGUGGUCAGAAGAGGAGGGAGAACAGCAGCACUGACUCAACAGCAAUGGGAGGUUGAAUGUGGCAUGAAUGCAGGACAUGCAGCCCCACUUACGGUCCUGUCUGGGAUGUUCACUCCUCGGCCUUGGCCAGACAUCAAGGCUACACACAGUUCAUUAAAACAUGAACAUCCUGAUUCCAGGACUUUGAAGAUAGGAAUCGCCCAUUCCAAACCAGAUGCUGCCCACAAGCAGCUGAGCAAGGAGCCAAAGGUGGUGAAUGAUUAGCAGAACUGCCAGACAGCUCCAGAGUCUGUGGACACGAAGUACCUGGAAAGCUGUUUAAUGGGUGUGAUAUUAUGAUUAUAUACAUGUUGGUUUUUGUCCAUGGCUCCUAGCUCAUAUCUCCUUAACCCUGAUACAGUCUUUUGUGAUAAUGUUGGGAGCACUUUAGGCUUCAGAAGCAGACCUCAGGAAACAGAAUCUCUCUCUCUGACCUUCUCCGC
rnacentral:lncRNA from 1 species